GGGGGAAGAAGAAUGAAGAAAGCUUCUCUCUGCUUGUACAAGUGCCAGAGUUAAAUGUAUUUGGCUUACAGUACAUUGAGAAGGCCUAGUUAUUCCCAAGUUCCUAAUAUCUGACAACGGAGUCAAUUAACAAUUAACUCAAUCACUGACUUAUAAAUAGUAUUCCAUUCCACAAAAUGUGUACAAUCAACACAGGGUAACAAUGUAACCUUCAGAUUCAAAGCACUGGCUUCGAUUAUCACAAAAGCGGUACCGUUUUUAAACGACUACAUUCUGAGUGCAUGAGCAAUGAAUUAGACAAAACAAGGGAGAGUGACGCUUCUGGGACCCUCGAGAGGACAUCCUGGAGAAGAACAUAUUUCUUCUUGUAGGUCAGAAGAAGAGAUAACCACCAUUCGGUGGAAAAGAAACAAGCAAGCUUCCUUUCUCUCUCUGAGAGAGAGGAAAGCAACUCCUCACUUGGCUGCGCAGGACAAAGCCAGGACGUGCAAGAAAGCAUCAGUCUAAGCUCCACGUGCCUCUCCAAGGACAGAGGGACCCACCCCCACACAUCACUCCUGGACAGCCAGCCCCCAAGUGCCCGCACAAGGCACCAGGUCCUCUGCCAAACUGGGUACCAGACAUCAGGCUUUUACAGGAGCUGUCACAGGAGGGCAUGGGGGGGGGGGCUGUCCCCCUUCUUUCUUUCCAAGACUGUCUUUCUCUGCCUAAUGUCCAUCUACGAAGUGAAAUGUGCCUCUCCAAGGAAACUGAGAUGUCAAUAAAUGCACAGACACACACCCUGGUCUCCAGUUAAGUCCCUGAGCCCCGCCACCAGUGCCAAGGGGAAUCGAGUCUCUUUCCCCCGGACCCCAAGGCGGAGGGGGCCCAGACUCACCCAGUCCUCGAAGUGUCGGCUCCCAUUCUGCAGCAGCUCCUCGAACUGGAUGGUGCAGUUGGCCACGAAGUCGUCGUAGCCGAUGGGGGCAUCGUGAAAGACGGCCAGCUCGAUCUUGCGCCCGUUGCACACAUCCGUGACGA